UCUUCAUUUUCUGUUCAAUUGCUGGCGGUAGUAAUGGGAAACAAGGCCACCGAAGAAAUCAUCUCCAUUGUGGUCGAUCGUCUGCGGCAAAUUUUCCAACAUGACAUAAUUUGAGCUCUCCACUUCGCAAAAAUGACCCAACUGCCUCGAUCAAUAUCAUCUUCGACACGCCAAGGAGCUUUAGGAAGCCUGAAUUUCCCAAUAAGCCCGAUCCCUCCAAUAGCAGGCUUAAUGCGGAGCCUCCGAUUGUUGACGAGUCUACCGUAAAGCAGAGUUAGUCGGCUAUAGGAUCCUGAUUCUGCUACGAGAUCGAACUGAAUUUAAAGAGCUUGGAGUAAUCAGUUUUCCGGGAAUGGUUGUACUGAUAGUGGAAAUUCAGAAGAAACGGGGAGUGAGUGGUGGUUUGUUGGAAGCGGUGAGGUUAAUGGGCUGUCCACUUGUAAAGGGAGAACCUUGAAGCCUGGCAAUGAGGUGAAUUUUACUUUCCCUACUUAGAAAAAAUGGAUAACAUCCUCACCUGGGAAGAUUGGUGGUGGGCAACUCAGCCAGGUGGCUACGUGCUCUGAGAUUAAUAGGUUUUCUAUCAGCGCCUAUGGAGAGGUAUUGUAAAGCUUCAUCUUUAUCUGGUGACUAAGAUAUGCUUGACAGUAGAUUUGCUAAAAUUUGGAAAUAUCUUAUGUCUAUCUAGCAUUAAUAAAUGGAAGGUUCAAUAGCUAUCUUGAUGAUAACAUUGAUACGCAGCCAUUUUGCUUGUUGCUCGACACAAUAUAUUGAUUAAAUGGUGCAGAUUGGUCGUAUUCCAAAUGAACGGGGCCGAUAUCUUUUACCCCUUGUAAGAGAUAAGAAGGUACGCUGGUGUUGUAAAAGGAAUUUGAAUCCAAAUCACAAUUUCUAUGAACUAUCGAAACUUUCCAUGUUCGGAUGUUCCAAAAGUGCCAACAGAUGUCACUCAAGGCAGCCAGUAAUUUUGCUGAGGAGUCAAUUCUUCACCCCCUUCCGACUCUGUUUAAAUUGUUGGGGCUUAUUCCUUUCAAGAAGGCAGAAUUUACUCCUGGAGAUCUGUAUACAAGGAAGAGGCCUUUGAACUCUGAGGACAGCUCUUUUUUGCCUCUAAGUUUUUCACAUAUAAAUAAGUUCAAGAGUGCUUCUUUCUGGAUAUGAAAAUAAUGGUGAAAAUGAAGAAUCAGUUUCUGAGAAUGACCUUGACAAUAUUGUAGGUGUGACUGACAGAUCUGAGUUAGAGGAAAUGGAGCCUCCCAGUACCCUACUAUGUGAAGUUCGCCCUUACCAGAAGCAAGCUCUCAGUUGGAUGAUCCACCUUGGGAUGGGGCACUGUGUGGAUGAGGCUACAACAACCAUGCACCCAUGUUGGGAUGCUUAUCAGCUUGCUGACAGGAUCCAUGGUGGAAUCCAGCAGUUGAAGAACAAGCAGUCAUGCGGAUUCAUCGCAUUGGACAAACUAAUAAAGUUGUAAUCAAAAGGUUUAUUGUGAAGGAUACCGUUGAGGAGAGAAUUGAAGCAGUACAGGCUAGGAAGCAGAUAAUGAUAUCUGGUGCUCUAACUGACCAAGAAGUGCGAACUGCACAAAUAGAGGAACUAAAAAUUCUCUUAACUUAGAUGAGGCUUUUGACUGGUGCAUCUAACAGUAUCAAAAUACCAAGGAGCCUCUCCUGCAGAUUUCCCGACUGAAUUCUGGUUCGUUGAGGAAUAUUACUCCAAGCGAUAUCAAGUUCCCUUAAACGAUAUUGGGGAUUCAUUGGAAGUUAAUGGGAAGUUGAAGCAUGUAGAGUUAGGUUUAGGAGGAGUUAUUACAAAAAUGGCGAAUGCUUUCUGAUGAACAAUCACUGCUUUCAACAAGGAGCUCCCAUAGUGAAGAUUCAUCAGCACAGAACAGGUGACUUUCCAUUAUCCGAUGGAGCAGGAGACGUAAAAAUAUGUUGUUAUAACAUUCGUUUUUAAUAGUGUUAUAUGGUGGAGUAAUUUCCCCCACAUAUUAUUUGUCUUGAACGGAGAUGGUAGAGUACUCCUUGUAAGUUAAUGAGUUGUAUGAAUAUGUGCACCAGCGUGUGCUUAGUUGAG